rnacentral:rRNA from 1 species
UACGUAGGGUGCAAGCGUUAAUCGGAAUUACUGGGCGUAAAGCGUGCGCAGGCGGUUUUGUAAGUCUGUCGUGAAAUCCCCCGGGCUCAACCUGGGAAUGGCGAUGGAGACUGCAAGGCUAGAGUUUGGCAGAGGGGGGGGUAGAAUUCCGCGUGUAGCAGUGAAAUGCGUAGAUAUGUGGGGGAACACCGAUGGCGAAGGCAGCCCCCUGGGUCAAAACUGACGCUCAUGCACGAAAGCGUGGGGAGCAAACAGG